rnacentral:rRNA from 1 species
AGUGAACGCUGGCGGUAGGCCUAACACAUGCAAGUCGAACGGCAGCUCAGUAAGAGCUUGCUCUUACGGGUGGCGAGUGGCGGACGGGUGAGGAAUACAUCGGAAUCUACUUUUUCAUGGGGGAUAACGUAGGGAAACUUACGCUAAUACCGCAUACGACCUACGGGUGAAAGCAGGGGAUCUUCGGACCUUGCGCGAUUGAAUGAGCCGAUGUCGGAUUAGCUAGUUGGCGGGGUAAAGGCCCACCAAGGCGACGAUCCGUAGCUGGUCUGAGAGGAUGAUCAGCCACACUGGAACUGAGACACGGUCCAGACUCCUACGGGAGGCAGCAGUGGGGAAUAUUGGACAAUGGGCGCAAGCCUGAUCCAGCCAUACCGCGUGGGUGAAGAAGGCCUUCGGGUUGUAAAGCCCUUUUGUUGGGAAAGAAAAGCAGCAGGUUAAUACCCCGCUGUUCUGACGGUACCCAAAGAAUAAGCACCGGCUAACUUCGUG